CCUACGGGUGGCAGCAGUGAGGAAUAUUGGUCAAUGGCCGUAAGGCUGACCCAGCCACGUCGCGUGAAGGAAGAAGGUUCUAUGGUUUGUAAACUUCUUUUACAGGGGAAUAAAGGUAUCCACGUGUGGAUAUUUGCAUGUACCCUAUGAAUAAGCAUCGGCUAACUCCGUGCCAGCAGCCGCGGUAAUACGGAGGAUGCGAGCGUUAGCCGGAUUUAUUGGGUUUAACGGGUGCGUAGGUUGUUUGUUAAGUCAGCGGUGAAAGUUUGUGGCUCAACCAGAAAAUUGCCGUUGAAACGGGAAGACUUGAGUGUGUUUGAGGAAGGCGGAAUGCGUGGUGUAGGAGUGAAAUGCGUAGAUAUCACGCAGAACUCCGAUGGCGAAGGCAGCUUACUAAGACAUAACUGACACUGAGGAACGAAAGCGUGGGGAUCAAACAGGAUUAGAUACCCCUGUAGUC
rnacentral:rRNA from 1 species